GCGAACAAGUACCGUGAGGGAAAGGUGAAAAGCACCCCGAUGAGGGGAGUGAAACAGUACCUGAAACCGAAUGCUUACAAUCAGUUGGAGGGUCCUUGAGGCCUGACAGCGUACCUCUUGUAUAAUGGGUCAGUGACUUAAUCUAUCAAGCGAGCUUAAGCCGUUAGGUGUAGGCGCAGCGAAAGCGAGUCUGAACAGGGCGACUGAGUUUGAUGGAUUAGACCCGAAACCCGGCGAUCUAGGCAUGACCAGGCUGAAGGUGCGGUAACACGCACUGGAGGGCCGAACCGUUUAAUGUUGAAAAAUUAUCGGAUGAGUUGUGUUUAGGGGUGAAAGGCCAAUCAAGCCGGGAAAUAGCUGGUUCUCCGCGAAAUCUAUUUAGGUAGAGCGUCGGAUGUUUACCUGUGGGGGUAGAGCACUGGAUGGGCUAGGGGGUCGCGAGAUCUACCAAACCUAACCAAACUCCGAAUACCACAGAGUUAGUCCGGCAGACAGACGGCGGGUGCUAAGGUCCGUCGUCAAAAGGGAAACAGCCCUAACCUACAGCUAAGGUCCCCAAAUCGUAUCUAAGUGGGAAAGCAUGUGGGAUUUCCAAAACAACCAGGAGGUUGGCUUAGAAGCAGCCAUCCUUUAAAGAAAGCGUAACAGCUCACUGGUCUAAAUAAGAGAUCCUGCGGCGAAAAUGUAACGGGGCUCAAGAUACGUACCGAAGCUUAGGGUGUGCAUUUAUGCACGCGGUAGCGGAGCGUUCCGUAAGCCUGUGAAGCGGGAGGGUAACCGACCGUGGAGGUAUCGGAAGUGAGAAUGCUGACAUGAGUAGCGAUAAAGAGGGUGAGAUGCCCUCUCGCCGAAAUCCCAAGGGUUCCUGCUUAAAGCUAAUCUGAGCAGGGUGAGCCGGCCCCUAAGACGAGCCCGAAGGGGGUAGUCGAUGGGAACCACGUUAAUAUUCGUGGGCCUGGAGGUGUGUGACGGAUGGCGUAAGUUGUCAGGCCUUAUUGGAUUGGUCUGGCUUCGAAGUUGUCCCAGGAAAUAGCCCCUCCGUAUAGACCGUACCCUAAACCGACACAGGUGGGAUGGUAGAGUAUACCAAGGCGCUUGAGAGAAGUGUACUGAAGGAACUCGGCAAAUUACCUCCGUAACUUCGGGAGAAGGAGGCCCCACAUAUGGGCAACCAUGUGUGGGGGGCACAAGCCAGGGGGUAGCGACUGUUUAGCAAAAACACAGGACUCUGCUAAGUCGGCUUCAAGACGACGUAUAGGGUCUGACGCCUGCCCGGUGCUGGAAGGUUAAGAGGAGGAGUGCAAGCUCUGAAUUGAAGCCCCAGUAAACGGCGGCCGUAACUAUAACGGUCCUAAGGUAGCGAAAUUCCUUGUCGGGUAAGUUCCGACCUGCACGAAUGGCGUAACGACUUCCCCACUGUCUCCAGUACAUGCUCAGCGAAAUUGAAUUCUCCGUGAAGAUGCGGAGUACCCGCGGUUAGACGGAAAGACCCCGUGCACCUUUACUGCAGCUUCAGAGUGGCAUUAGGAAAGAACUGUGUAGCAUAGGUGGGAGGCUUUGAAGCGACGGCGCCAGCUGUCGUGGAGCCAUAGGUGAAAUACCACCCUGUUGUUUUCUGAUGUCUAACCACGCACCGUUAUCCGGUGCUGGGACCCUCUGUGGCGGGUAGUUUGACUGGGGCGGUCGCCUCCUAAAAAGUAACGGAGGCGUGCAAAGGUUCCCUCAGGCUGGUUGGAAAUCAGUCGUAGAGUGUAAAGGCAUAAGGGAGCUUGACUGCAAGACCUACAAGUCGAGCAGAGACGAAAGUCGGCCUUAGUGAUCCGACAGUGCCGAGUGGAAGGGCUGUCGCUCAACGGAUAAAAGUUA
rnacentral:rRNA from 1 species